rnacentral:lncRNA from 1 species
ACAUAGAUUAAAUUAUCUCCACCGUUAAUAUUAAAAGGCAACGGCUGAGAUUUAAAGGAUUUCAAAGUUACAUACAACUAUUGCUAGGUACAAAUAAUUUGUUUGCCACGCAUGGCUGACAAGCCUCCUAAACAUGCCUUUUCAAUUAUGUGUCCGAGACAACCACGAAUACCUGCCAAAUAAAGAGAGUACACCAAAUAAAGAGAGUACACGAUAUGGAUUCUACUGCACACAAUUAUUACAAAUCGGAACGCGUGCACGCAAAUUUACACACGGACUCAAUCGGCUAACACUAGCAAAUAAAGACACCCAGUUGGCCACGUCCAGCAACGCCCAGGAAGCCAAAUCUUUUUUUUGUUUUAGCAUGGACUACAAGGACACGGAUCGGGCACAAUCUAUCCAUCUUGCUCCAUGUGAGGCUGAACAACAUAACAAAGUGGGAUGGAUGCAAUAACGGCAUGAUGGAUGGCGUCUGAGAGCAUCACAAACACCAUAACAAAAGUGUGAUGGAUGCAAUUAGGGCAGGAUCGGAAGGCGUCAGAGAGCGUUGCACUGGACAAAGUUCCUCCGUAUGCUUUCUCCGUGCAUAAAUCAGCCAAAGCGGUGACAACGUGUCUCGACACCGACCAAACCUUCUGAGUUGCCUCUCCUAAAUCAUCAAGGUUCGUAAAUAUCAAUUACUUGAUUCACUUACUCAGGAUAAAAUCUAUGAGAUAUUAUCAAUUGACAAACAAUUUUCGAAUGCUUUUGUAGCCAAAACACCAUGGCGUAUAAGAAUCGGAGUGCCUUAACCGAUGAGCAUAUGAGCUUCGGUGGAUCAAAAAAUAUAUUAUAUAUUUACAUGCAGAUUGUUCCGUUGUUUUGAACAAGAACUAAUAUAUUGUAACUAUUUGAUAGGGCCAAACAAUGCAUGUUACUGUGAGAAUUAAAACUCAUGAUACUAUAAAUGUGGAGUUUGAUACACAAUUAUUGAUCAAAUAAGAAUGAGAAACCUGUUUAUGCAUUAUCAUUUUAAAAUUGUGGAAGCCACAAAGUAUCACCUGUCGACCAAUGAAAUACAGAGGUAAGGAUCAUCGGAAAUUUUUUCCUGAUUACUACUUCCAGUUUGCUUCCAAGGACACACUACAAGAACAUGCAGGGAAAGAUAAACAAUGCUCAUACUUUAUAGUUCUAAAUAAGACUCAACUAAUUAAUCUUUCUCGCUAUGAAGUAACUAAUCGCCAAUUAUACAGAUGUCAUUACUCACCCAAAUGAAGCAUGUGGAAUCAAGAAUAACAGAGUAAGUGAAUAAUGCAUAACCACAUACUUUAAUUGGACUUCCAUCAUUGCAUUAUCAUUAAAUUUUCCAGCUUAAACAUACUUUAAUUGGACUUCCAUCAUUGCAUUAUCAUUAAAUUUUCCAGCUUAAACUUUUCAUGAGUGAUAAAAUCAGAAUUACACUAUAGGGAAAUUCUACUUUAUAUUUUGAAUGAGGAUGUAAUCGACAUCCAAACUAUCCUUAUUGUGACAUCAACAACCGUGCAGAAGUUUUAAUAGUACGUCCAACAAAGUCACAACAUCUUCUGUCAUUUACAAAAAAAUAACAGAUUUCCAUGAUUAAAGAGGAUUGUGCCUAAAGUCAACCACUGCCGCAAAUGUAUACAUAUCUAGAUACACCCGCGACUCAGGAACCUCUUGAAAGGUAUGGAACACUAUCUUGUAUUAUUUAUCAACUAAUGAAUCAUGACUCAUGUUUAUUAACCAAUGUAAAAUAAUAAUUAUACUUGACUAACUCCAUAUAUGCAGACACUCACCAGAAGAAACUUCACCAAAAAUGAUCGAGAUAGAUAGAAGUACACAAGGUACACUAGAAGAACAAGUGUCUUACAGAACUCACUGGAAUGACGCAUGGAAACUAAGCAAAUCAGGCAGUCAUCAAACUUCUUCUAAGAUAUGACAUCACCACUUUUCAAGAAAAACAAGACUCUAAGACCUGCAGGGACAGUGAGCUAUAUCAGUUAUAAGCUUAUAAUGGAGCCAUAUUUGACUUAUUAAUGUAUGUCAACUUCUUCAGAUUGAUAACUUUGAUUUUGUGGGUAAUUUAUUUAAAUUUUGCAUUCAUGGCAAUAGCUACAAUAGAUCUGUUGCAAGAAAAUAUUUGAUGUUGGUAUAUGUCAUGUGAUGAUUGUUUUCUGCAGCAAUAACAAUGCUAUGGUAGGCAUAGUAUUCGACUCCAAAUUAGUGGAUGUACAACUACUACAAGCUGCAGUUCCUUUAACGAGGGUGGCAAAAAGUUGCUUAAUACAUUUGUCUUGAACUUGAUGAACUCAUUGGAUGGAAAAUCUGAAGAAGAGCAGAAGAUUAUACGAUAAUUAUGCUGAAAACAAGAGAAACUAUUUGUAUUAACUGAUAUAGAGUAAGAAUACUUGACAAUCCAUUAAUAUAAGGAGGACUUAUUAGGUAACAACGGUUUAUUUAUUUAUUUUCGAACGCGGAGGUGAAAGGCCUCAGUCGAUAAAUUAAGCAGAAAAGAAUUACCCAGUUAAUUAGCGGAAAACUGGGCGAAUACCAUGAUAACAACGGUAUAACAUUACCACUAUCAGAAGCAUGCCAUAUUGUAAUUAUUUAAAUACAUUCAGACAUGCACUUUUGUGAGUUUUAUAUUCUUGGUAAAAUCAAUUACAUGAACCAACAUUUCAGUUACUACAUGUAAGCUGUCCUGCUUUGUCUUAAUACACAUACAAGUAAUAUAACUUGCUAAUAUAUGGUAACAAGAAAUAAAAAUACAUGUGAACAAUCAGCCACUAUGGAGGAACUAGGAAUGAUUUAAAGCCGUAGCACAUUACAUAGGUGGAAGCUGACAGCACCAGCAAUGAGGAAGCCCAUAGCUCGCCUCAACCUGCAGACUCUCUGUAAAUGCAAAGAGACCAAUCACAAAUGUAUAUUACUACUUUUUAAAACUGCUUUCAUGUGUAUAUAUGGUAAUAAGAGCGAACAAGACUUAUAAUAUUGGCUUUACGUAGUAGAUGGAUAUAAUGAGUAUAGUUUUGCUGUAUGAAGGUCCAUAUAAUCAUUAUGGAGGAGUUGAAGAGAUAAUAAUCAAAAUUUAGGUAGAAUGUCAACAUAAAAAAGAUCAUGCUCAAUUCCCUAAACAAACAUAAGGC